GCCGCCUGAGCCAGCGGCUGCUGGGAGGCUGUGUCCGCAAGCCAGCGGGGCGAGGCGGCUGGGCCCUGCGCGUCAGGUCCCGGCCUGGGGCACCGGGGCUGGCAGCGUCGGAGGAGGCCUGAGACCUGGGAGGAAGCUGGAGAAAAGAUGCCCUCUGAAUCUUUGUUUGUCUGCCCAGGCUCGCCUCGACACCGAAUGGUUGAAAACAGAUAUACAGAUGAUAGUGUCGAACCAAGUGGAACAAAGAAAGAAGAUCUGAAUGACAAAGAGAAAAAAGAUGAAGACGAAACUCCUGCACCUGUAUAUAGGGCCAAGUCAAUUCUGGAGACCUGGGUGUGGGUCAGGCAACCAGGUAAUCUUCUGAGUUUUGGCACUUUGGAAAGCUUGAUCUGACGCUCCUUUUCUAAAUAACUUGGAUGGAUUAUUCGUAUUUUAUGGUAACAAUUUAAAAAAAUGUAAUUAAAAAAAUUUAAAUAUUGUAAAAUAUACAUACCGUAAAACUUGCCAUUUUAAUCAUCUUUAUGUGUACAGUUCAUUGGCAUUAAGUAUAUUCACAUUAUUGCCCAGCCAUCACCACCAUCCAUCUCUACAACUUUUGCCCUUUCUCCAACUGAAACUCCGUAUCCAUGAAACACUAACUCCUUCUGUCCCCAAGCAACCACCAUUCUACUUUUGUCUCAGAAUUUGACUACUCAAGGUGUCUCCUAUAAGGGGAAUCAUACAGUAUUUGUCCUUUUUUGACUGGUUUAUUGAACUUCUUAGGUGUUUGGGGUUCAUCCGCAUGUGUCAAAAUUUUCUUUUAAAGGCUCAAUGCUAUUCCAUUAUAUAUGUAAGCCACAUGUUAUCCCUUCAUCAGUGGGCAAUCAGGUUGCUUUCAUCUCUUGACUGUUGUGAGUAAUGCUGCUAUGAACAUUGGUUUACGAGUGUCUUGAGUGUCUGCUUUUAAUUCUUUGUGUCUAUACCUAGGAGUGGAAUUGGUCAAUAAUGUGGAAUGCUUACAUAUUUAUUUUUUUUGAGAUGGCAUCUCGCUCUGUCGCCCAGGCUGGA
rnacentral:lncRNA from 1 species